ACACUGCUGAGGAGUCUCAUAAUAGGACGAAACGGCCGUCCAGUGU
rnacentral:hammerhead_ribozyme from 1 species